UACUUACACCACUGACACUGCACUUCAUCAAUGCAUGCCCACCAAAGCAAAACCACUCACGCUUCACUUCACCAGCGCAUGCCCACCAAAGCAAAAUCAAUUUUUUUUUUUCCAAUGUCUGAAUCUUUUCACCCUUUAUAACUAAAAAAUCCGGAAACCCUAGAUCUCGGCUAUAGCUGGUGAUCUUAAAUUUUUUUUCCUCUGCUUUCCUUUGAACAUUACAUUCCCGGAAAAUGAUUUUCCGGGGAAAGAAGUGACGGAUUUUCAGAGGCUGGUGUGUAGGUGGGUUCCAAAUGUGUUGUGGUGGGCAUUGUGCUAUACAAUGAUUCUUCUCUUUGGUUAUAUUCUGAGCAAAGGGAACAACAUUCACUCGAGACCCGCUUUGUUCAAGUUGUAUCUCAGAUAAUUGCGCAUACUGAAGAGGUUUUCUUCAAGAAAACCAUUCAUAAUUUGAGGCAUGUUGCAUAUAUAUGCGGUAAAGAGUUAAAGGAUAUUCCAUACUUUAUUUGUCCUUAUAAACCACAAGAGUUCAUGGCUAUGAUGGUGAGGAACUAAGGAUAUAUCACAAUUGAGGUUCUUUGAGAAGAGAAUAAAAUAUCUUAAUAAAGGAAUUCUAAUAUUAUUUAUUCAAUUAAUUUCUUUAUAGGCCAUUUUUAUUUAUUCUUGAAUGAAAUAUAGGUAAGACUAAACCUUUCACUUCUGGAGGAUAUUAGGGAUGAUAUUGAUUUCUGUUUCAAGCUUGCUAAGGAGGAAUCUGUUAUCAUUCUUCCAAGUACAAUCAUAAAUUAUGUUGCACUUGA